GACGAACGCUGGCGACGCGCUUAACACAUGCCAGUCGAACGGAAAGGCCUGCUUUCCCUUGUGGAUUGCGGGUACUCGAGUGGCGAACGGGUGAGUAACACGUGAGUGAUCUGCCCCCAACUUGGGUAUAAGCCUGGGAAACUGGGUCUAAUUCCCGAUAGGACUGCAGGGUGGUGCCUGUGGUGGAAAACGAUUUUCUAGUGGUUGGGGAUGAGCUCGCGGCCUAUCAGCUUGUUGGUGGGGUAAUGGCCUACCAAGGCGGCGACGGGUAGCCGGCCUGAGAGGGUGGACGGCCACAUUGGGACUGAGAUACGGCCCAGACUCCUGCGGGAGGCAGCAGUGGGGAAUAUUGCACAAUGGGCGGAAGCCUGAUGCAGCGACGCCGCGUGGGGGAUGACGGCCUUCGGGUUGUAAACUCCUUUCGACCGCGAGGAAGCCACCUGGUUGGAAGGGUGGUGACGGUAGUGGUAGAAGAAGCACCGGCUAACUACGUG
rnacentral:rRNA from 1 species